UCGGGUAAUCGCUGCAAUAAGUUUUGGCGAAUUGUAGAGGAAAGUCCAUGCUCGCACAGGCUGAGAUGUCUGUAGUGUUCGUGCCUAGCGAAAAAAUAAGCUAGGGCAUUAAGGAAGAGGCCUUGCUUCUUCUUUUUUGACGGCAGGGAAAAUGCCUAAGUCAUUUAUGAUAUGGCAUGAAUACCUUGAAAGUGCCACAGUGACGGAGCCUCCUCAGAAAUGAGUAGGGUGGAACGAGGUAAACCCCACGAGCGAGAAACCCAAAUUAUGGUAGGGGCACCUUCUUUAAGGAAAUGAACGAGAAAGAAGGACAGGUUCAUUGUAAUCUGUAGAUAGAUGAUUACCACCGGAGUACAAGACGAAGGUCGUUUGCAGUACGAAGGAACAAAACAUGGCUUACAG
rnacentral:RNase_P_RNA from 1 species